rnacentral:rRNA from 1 species
GACGAACGCUGGCGGCGUGCCUAAUACAUGCAAGUCGAGCGAGACUCUUCGGAGUCUAGCGGCGGACGGGUGAGUAACACGUGGGCAACCUACCUGUAAGACUGGGAUAACACCGGGAAACCGGUGCUAAUACCGGAUAAUCCUUUUCCUCUCAUGAGGAAAAGCUGAAAGUCGGUUUCGGCUGACACUUACAGAUGGGCCCGCGGCGCAUUAGCUAGUUGGUGAGGUAACGGCUCACCAAGGCGACGAUGCGUAGCCGACCUGAGAGGGUGAUCGGCCACACUGGGACUGAGACACGGCCCAGACUCCUACGGGAGGCAGCAGUAGGGAAUCUUCCACAAUGGACGAAAGUCUGAUGGAGCAACGCCGCGUGAGCGAUGAAGGCCUUCGGGUCGUAAAGCUCUGUUGUUAGGGAAGAGCAAGUACCGGAGUAACUGCCGGUACCUUGACGGUACCUAACCAGAAAGCCACGGCUAACUACGUGCCAGCAGCCGCUGUAAGAC